GUCUGCUCCUCUUUCUCUCUUUCCCCUCUUCACUCAGUCUCGAUUUGCUUCUUCAAAUGCCGCAUGCUGCCGCCGCUGCUGAAGAACCAAAUUUUAAAGCCUUCUCUCACGAACAGUUCGUUGAUGUCGUUAGAUCUGAAGCUGCUGCUCCACCAGUUCAUAUGACAGGGGUACCCCUUCUGAUAUGAAGAAGAAGAGAGAUAAGCCAUAGGAAGUAUGGCCCUGGUGGUGCUGUGGCGGCUGCAUUGUCGCCAAUGCCGAAUUCGGCUUUAAUUCCUCUGAGUAGAGACUUUUCAGGCUGGAAAAAACAUAGAGCAAGGCCUUUUCAGACAAUAAAGUAGCCAUAUUAAGUGGAGUUUGAGAGUCUAGAAUUCCUCAUUUAAAAACUGUAACGCAGCUGCUUGCAAACAUGGAAAACUCCCAUGGAAAAAUUUUAGUGUUUGUGUUUCUUUGAACCCAUAAUUGUAUUUCUUAUAAUUUGCAAUUGUUGUUUAUUAGUAGUAUUUCUUGUAUUCAGGAACAAAAAUAUAUGAAAUAUAACUUUUUACCUAUAUAUAA